rnacentral:rRNA from 1 species
AUUGAACGCUGGCGGCAGGCCUAACACAUGCAAGUCGAACGAGUGGCGGACGGGUGAGUAAUGUCUGGGAAACUGCCCGAUGGAGGGGGAUAACUACUGGAAACGGUAGCUAAUACCGCAUACCAUCGGAUGUGCCCAGCUGGGGUUAGCUUGUAGGUGAGGUAACGGCGCACCUAGGCGACGCUCCCUAGAUGGUCUGAGAGGUUGACCAGCCACACUGGAACUGAGACACGGGCCAGACUCCUAGGGGAGGCAGCAGUGGGGAAUAUUGCACAAGGGGCGCGAGUCUGAUGCAGCCAUGCCGCGUGUAUGAAGAAUGCCUUCGGGUGGUAAAGUACUUUCAGCGGGGAGGCGUUACCCGCAGAAGAAGCACCGGCUAACUCCGGGCCAGCCGCCGCGGUAUUUC